rfam:Oryza sativa (indica cultivar-group) chromosome 11, whole genome shotgun sequence.
AUCCCAUGAUGAGGAUAGGCGGCCACAUAUUCUUGAAGUUGUUCCCACGCCUCAGGAAUGGAUUCAUCCCUCGUCUGCUGGAAACACGAAAUCCUUCCGCGAAGGGC